GCUUGGGUAGCUUAAUAGGAAGAGCAUUGGACUGAAAAUCCUUAUGAACUGGUUCGAAUCCAGUCCCAAGCA
rnacentral:tRNA from 1 species